CACGUAGGGCGCAAGCGUUUGUCCGGAAUUAUUGGGCGUAAAGAGCUUGUAGGCGGUUUGUCGCGUCUGCUGUGAAAUUUCGGGGCUCAACCCCGAACUUGCAGUGGGUACGGGCAGACUAGAGUGUGGUAGGGGGAGACUGGAAUUCCUGGUGUAGCGGUGAAAUGCGCAGAUAUCAGGAGGAACACCGAUGGCGAAGGCAGGUCUCUGGGCCACUACUGACGCUGAGAAGCGAAAGCAUGGGGGAGCGAACAGG
rnacentral:rRNA from 1 species